UACGGAGGGUGCGAGCGUUGUCCGGAAUCACUGGGCGUAAAGGGCGCGUAGGCGGCCUCUUAAGGGUGCGGUGAAAGUCCGGGGCUCAACCCCGGAUCGGCCGUGCCGACUGAGAGGCUGGAGCACUGUAGAGGCGAGUGGAAUUCCGGGUGUAGCGGUGGAAUGCGUAGAGAUCCGGAAGAACACCGGUGGCGAAGGCGGCUCGCUGGGCAGUGGCUGACGCUGAGGCGCGACAGCAUGGGGAGCAAACAGG
rnacentral:rRNA from 1 species